rnacentral:tRNA from 1 species
CGGGCUGUGGCGCAGUGGUAGCGCGCGCGCAUGGGGUGCGUGAGGUCGUGGGUUCAAAUCCCGCCAGCCCGA